rnacentral:tRNA from 1 species
GCGAGCGUAACUCAGCGGUAGAGUCGCCGCCUUCCAAGCGGCCGGUCGGGGGUUCAACUCCUCCCGCUCGCUCCA